CCCGGAUAUUGUCAGCGGAGAAACUCCCGAUCUUCCGAGAAUGGAAUAAGUUUCCGGGCGGAAACGUGUCCCGACUAUUUGAGGUCUAGAUGGACGCAGUUCGGAAUUCUAGUUUCGAGCCGCCAGCUAUCCGGUUCUGCUUUUUUUCUGAAUAGAACGCUCCCAGGAUUUGCUACCCCGAUAGGCCGGCAGCGAUGGACGAAUGGGCUCACCUUCAGUUUCUGCCAGCACUUUCUGGGCGGCCGUUUGAUGUACAGAUAGCCUCGCUUGACUACCUGGUUGCCCGCGGCCGAUUUUUCUUCCAUCCUCAGCUAGGUGAGCGCGUCAUCUCGGCUCCAAAUUUGCUGUGGUCCCGAAUUCGCUUCUCCGCCCGCUCCUACCUUCUAUUGUCACGUGACGGAUGAAGAGCGCGCCACCUGUCUGCCGAAGACCACAUCCCGACAGGUUUUAUCUGUUAGAAGUGGACUAUCUAGUCGUUUACCGAGUGAGUAAAUAGAUCGAAGCGUAAACCGGAGACCAGCUGGCUACAGUUGGUCCCGAUAUUACGUCUCCAGCUGCCAAUAGUAGUAUCUUAGUUCUCCGCCGUUCGGCAGAAUAGGAAAUAACCUACUGAGCUUAACGGAUAAAACAGCCAUCGGAUGCUUAACAGAACCUUGGUAUUUUUUUUCUGGCCCUCUGACCUUUACUAAUAGCCAUACUCUCUACCAUUGGUAUUGGAAAUUUUCCAUGCCCUUUAAGGAGUCAUUCGAGUUUUACGUCAGCAUUUUAAAGGAAGGGAGAGAUAAAGAAGAUCUUAUCGUUUCUCUUAUGUGGAGAUUUAAAUAUCUUAGAGAAGCGUGGAGGUAAAAUAUAUUUCAAUUUUAAGAUUUAAGUUG
rnacentral:lncRNA from 1 species